UACGUAGGGGGCAAGCGUUGUCCGGAUUCACUGGGCGUAAAGCGCGUGUAGGCGGCGCGUUAAGUCGGGGUGUGAAAGCCCGGGGCUCAACCCCCGGGAUGCCGCUCGAAACUGGCGCGCUUGAGGACGGAAGAGGGGAGUGGAAUUCCUGGUGUAGCGGUGAAAUGCGUAGAGAUCAGGAGGAACACCCGUGGCGAAGGCGGCUCCCCUGGUCCGUCCCUGACGCUGAGACGCGAAAGCGCGGGGAGCGAACGGG
rnacentral:rRNA from 1 species